rnacentral:rRNA from 1 species
AGCAGUAGCCACGGUAAUACGAAGGGUGCAAGCGUUAAUCGGAAUUACUGGGCGUAAAGCGUGCGUAGGCGGUGAGUUAAGUCUGCUGUGAAAUCCCCGGGCUCAACCUGGGAACUGCGCUUGUGACUGCACAGCUAGAGUAUGGCAGAGGGGGGUGGAAUUCCACGCGCAGCAGUGAAAUGCGUAGAGAUGUGGAGGAACACCGAUGGCGAAGGCAGCCCCCUGGGCCAAUACUGACGCUCAUGCACGAAAGCGUGGGGAGCAAACAGGAUUAGAUACCCCAGUAGUCCCUGUCUCUUAUAC